rnacentral:miRNA from 1 species
AUGCACCUGGACAAGGAUUC